rnacentral:rRNA from 1 species
UACGAAGGGGGCUAGCGUUGCUCGGAAUCACUGGGCGUAAAGCGCACGUAGGCGGCGUCUUAAGUCAGUGGUGAAAUCCCGGGGCUCAACCUCGGAACUGCCUUUGAUACAGCACGUCUCGAGUCCGGAAGAGGUGGGUGGAAUUCCACGUGUAGCAGUGAAAUGCGUAGAGAUGUGGAGGAACACCGAUGGCGAAGGCAGCCUCCUGGGCCAGCACUGACGCUCAUGCACGAAAGCGUGGGGAGCAAACAGG